GAUGAAGAACGCAGCGAAAUGCGAUAAGUAAUGCGAAUUGCAGAAUUUCCGUGAGUCAUCGAAUCUUUGAACGCACAUUGCGCCCGCUAGUAUUCUGGCGGGCAUGCCUGUCUGAGCGUCAUUUCAACCCUCGCCCCCGGCUUUUUGCUGGGAGCGGUGUUGGGGAUCGGCCGCCCGUCACUGGGAGGCCGGCCCCGAAAUAGAGUGGCGACCACGCCGUGUGCUCCUCUGCGUAGUAGUAAAUCACCUCGCAGGCGGACAGCGGUGCGGCCUGCCGUAAAACCCCCAACUCUUUCUGGUUGACCUCAGAUCAGGUAGGAAUACCCGCUGAACUUAAGCAUAUCAAUAAGCGGAGGA
rnacentral:misc_RNA from 1 species